UGUAAACAAAUCGAUUACGGCUAGUUCGUUGGAUGGUUGAUUUGAGUGUUUUCACGUUCAAUUGGAGAAAACCUAGCAGAGACCAUUUAAGACACAUGGAAAUGCGGCAUUUUUAAUUGUCCGAGCAGGGGCAGCGAGAGAGUGAGAGAUAUUGAAAUUGCAACCAAAAUGACCACAGCCAACCUAGGAGUGUAUGCAAAUUGUAGUGCCAUCCUACUGAAUUGUUUCCAUCCCAUCUUUAAAAUAUUUAAUCAGAUUGCACAGUGGUUAGAGUUUAAUCGAGCCAUUGGAGGUAGAUGUUUUCUUUAAUGGCCUUGACCUCGAAAAAUGAAAAUAUUUCGUUUAUUGUUGUAUUUACCUCAUAACAUAAAAUAUCGAUUGUGGAGAAGAAAGCAAAUGAUUCUCAUAAAUGCCUUGAGGAGAAACAAGGUCAACGUUAUUCAGCCAUGAAACGAUGCAUCAUAAACAGUGGUUUCAUAUCACUCAUUUGAAAUUAUUUUUCUGCAGUUGUCAAGUCAAAUGGAAUCAGCACUAUCGUUGCAGAAGUUGGUAGAAAAUGGGCUAAGAAAUAAACGUAUGGGGGAUUUCUUUAUGUGGCGUAACUUUAUUUUUGAUUUAAUUUAAAUGUCAGAAAAAUUUAAUUAAAAAUUUAUUUAAAUGUCAAAAAAUUAAUUAAAACAAGACAAGAUAAAUCGAGCUAAGUGCGGCCAGGCCGAAUCUUAGGAACCCACCACCAUGGAUUCUACUGCAACUUAUGGCCUGUUUGUCGACGACGAAAGCAAGCGUUUGUUUGGCCUGCAAACGAAAAAAACUGAUUUGGGCUUCUGUAUCUCAUUUUAAACGAAGAAUUUAUCAAAUGACAAGCCGAACACCUUGUCAUAUCGAGCAUCAUUGGCACUCAGUAUUUAUGCGAGAUCCGGAGUAGUCCGGCUUCUCACUGAGACUCUUCACUCCAUACCGCUGAUUGUCCGCGACUGUAGUUGCAACUACUCCAUAUGCAGCACCUGACUAUCCUCAGCCUGUCGAAGCGCCCGGUAACUCGCAGCUUAGCUUCUCGUGACAACGGUAAACAUUAUACAGUUUAGAGUUCAAAGUUCCAGCCUGUGUGGUGCUAAUAGUUAUCCCGUGCCGGGGUGCCCUGAGGUAGUUGUAGAAUGUUGGGCUCCUCCUCACCCGCAAAAAAAAGUAAACGCCAACGAAUGAUUCCAUUUGCCUUUUAUUAAACACAUCGCAAGUUUUAUGUUAAUAAUGUUUUGAAUUUAUGUACGUGAUUGAAAUAAAGAAAAUAACACCAUAA